rnacentral:rRNA from 1 species
UACAGAGGAGCCAAGCGUUGUCCGGAUUGACUGGGCGUAAAGCGCACGCAGGCGGAUGCGCGCGUGGGGUGUGAAAUCUGGCCGCUUAACGGCCAGGCGCCAUCCCAUACGGCGCGUCUGGAGUGAUGCAGAGGUCGGUGGAAUUGCCGGUGUAGUGGUGAAAUGCGUAGAGAUCGGCAGGAACACCCAGGGGGAAACCAGUGGACUGGGCAUGCGCUGACGCUCAGGUGCGAAAGCGUGGGGAGCGAACCGG